UCGGGAAUAUUGCGCAAUGGAGGAAACUCUGACGCAGUGACGCCGCGUGCAGGAAGAAGGUUUUCGGAUUGUAAACUGCUUUAGACAGGGAAGAAAAAGGACAGUACCUGUAGAAUAAGCUCCGGCUAACUACGUGCCAGCAGCCGCGGUAAUACGUAGGGAGCAAGCGUUAUCCGGAUUUAUUGGGUGUAAAGGGUGCGUAGACGGGAUAAUAAGUUAGUUGUGAAAUCCCUCGGCUUAACUGAGGAACUGCAACUAAAACUGUAAUUCUUGAGUGCUGGAGAGGAAAGUGGAAUUCCUAGUGUAGCGGUGAAAUGCGUAGAUAUUAGGAGGAACACCAGUGGCGAAGGCGACUUUCUGGACAGUAACUGACGUUGAGGCACGAAAGUGUGGGGAGCAAACA
rnacentral:rRNA from 1 species